CGGUUUCAACUUGCUGAGGACAGAUCCAGUGAAUGUGAGUAUCAAUACCACCAGCUGUUAAAAUUUGUCCUUCACCUGCAAUUACUUCUGUCGCAGCACCUAAAGGAAUAGUAAUGUCGGGUUGAAUAUCAGGGUUUCCAGCUUUCCCUAUUUUCCAGAUUCGUCCAUUCUUUAAGCCCACAUCGGCUUUAACAAUUCCCCACCAGUCCACAAUUAAAGCAUUGGUUAUGACUGUAUCAGCAACCUCAUCAGCUAAAAGCUGAGAUUGCCCCAUCCCAUCACG
rfam:Acinetobacter baumannii str. SDF, complete genome.